rnacentral:lncRNA from 1 species
AUCACAACUGCUCGCAUUCCUGGGGCAUUUUACUGUCUAUGAAAUGUUGUCAUGUGCAUGAUCCCAUGUGGCCCACUCUGCUCCCUAAAACCUUACAUGAUUUUCCAUCUUGAAUUUUUGCUGGUCUGCCCUCCUAUCUCUCUCCUUUUGCCUGAAAGCUUCUCUGGAGGGAAGGGCAAAGUGGUUUAGAGGCUUGGCAGUGGGGUCGAAGAUGGUUUCUACACAACUGGGAAGCCACUGUUGGCUGCCUACAUAUUAACUGUUCUUCUUUCUUGCUAAGAUAAUUCUGAUUUUUGUUCAGUUGAAAAUGUUCCCAGCACCAGAGAGUGAAUCCUAAUUGGUUUAAGCCAGUCAUGGCAAUCUGACCCCUGUUGACAGGGAUUGGUCUAGGGAUGAGCAAUAGGACCCUGUUGUGGCCUAGAUGUAAGUGAGUCUGGGAGGAUUCUGAGAAAGAUUUUACUAUCUGAUUAUAAGAGAGAUAAAGGGGAAAAUUAUUUUUUUGCCCUUGCACUUUUCCUUCCCAGUUGAGACACUAAUGUGUGAAGACAUGAAGCUUGGAGCUUUGGCAACCAUCUUGUGAUGAUGAGGGUGACAGAGCAGAAGAUAAACAAAGCCUGGUAGAGACAUCGGGGCAAGCUAGUCUGCUUUCCACCGGAGCAUUUCCCUCCAAAGAUGCAGGUUUCUCUACUUAUCUCCUCCCUGGAUGGCUGUAUAAGCCAGAUGAUGGUUACCUGAACACUCUAGAAAAAGAAUUCACAGAGGGUUUCACAGGGCACGGCCUCGCAGUCUGGAGGGAGAAGAGGGCAAAGCGGUCUUCACGGACGCCACCUACUGCCUGGCUGGGCAGAGAGCCAGUGGAUCAGAGAGGCCGGCUCUGUUCUUGGCAGGAAAUGAGGAGCUGGCAUGGAAAUGCCACCCAGGCUGGGAACAAGAUCUAUGGAGUGGCAGCCUGAGUGGGUGAGGUGAGGGGGAGCACAGGACAACCCAAGGCUCUCUCGUCAGCAGCGCCAGUCCACAGGGAUCUUCAGUGGUCAGCAUUCGAACAUGCUGGACUGGGCCGGGCCAUGGAAACCCACUCUUUGUCAGUGAAUCCCAAGCUUCAGUGCACCUCUGUAUCACCUUGGCAGGAGGGUAGUAUUUAAAAGGCCGUUUCCUAAAGCCUAGCUCAAGAGUUGGAUCAGGAAGUUCGGGAUGAAGCCUGAUAAUUAGUCUUUUAAUAAGCCUUCCUAGCAGGAGACGACUUUGAGAAAUGUGGGUGUAGAGAUUCAGACAAGAAAGCUAAUAGGGCCAUUGAAAGCCUUUUACCUACCAGAAUGGGAUCAAUACACACUUCCCCAACCUUGAAAGCAAGAUUUCUCCUAAUACUAUCCUUGGAGCCACCCAACCCUACCACUCCCAUUAAAGUCACUGGGGGUGUUUGCUAAAAUGCAGACUAUGGGUUCCCAACACAGAUGUAUUGAAUCAGAUUCUCUAAGGGUGAGGACUUGAAUAUACACUUACAAUAAGCACCCUAAUAAUAAUAAUAGCCUAGGUUCAUAUAGUGUUGACUCUGUGACAUGUUCUUUAAUAUUAGCUCAUUUAAUAUGUACAAUAAUUUGUGAGGUAGGUUAUAUUAUUAUUCCAUUUAGCAAAUGAUGAAACUGAGACCCAGAGAGGUAAAGUAACCUGCCAAGGUUAUACCACUACUUAGUGACUGAACUGGGAUUCAGACCUAGGUGCUGCUAUAGUUGGGCUCCUAAUGUAGGAGAAGAAAAAUAUGUGUCCUCUACUAUCUUAUGUUUAGUGCCUGGAGCCUUUGAAUUAAACUGACGAAAGGUAGAUUAGCAGGAGGAAAAAUACAGAGUUUAUUUACACGUGUAACAGGCAUACAUGUGGUUGAGCUCUGUGAUGAGUAACUCAAAGGGGUGUUAGAAUUUGGGGCUUAUGUACCAUCUUAACAAAGGAUAAUAAAAUGUGGAGAACAAGGGAAAUAGGUUAAGGGGUGGCUGGGCUAGAGUUUACUGUGGGAAGGUGAAUAUAUGAGGAAAAUUAAUAUUUGAGGUAAGAUAAGGAUUAUUUUAGUAAGGUUUACUUAUGUAGACCCAUGUGGGCACUGACGUUUUGUCUCCAAUAUAAGGGUUGUUCACUGUACAGAACAGGGAAAGGGGAACACCUUCACAAAGGGAAAAUUAUGCACUGCUUCUAGGCAGAUAGAAAGAAGGUAGAGAGCUCUUUCUGCAUUUGCUGCAUCUUAAUUGCCUUCAGUGGUAUACUUUGGAUGGCAUGUUCUGAUUCCCUUUGCUAACCAGCAUACCAUAUAGCCCAGCUUCUUCAGAUGGAGGCUAAAUCUCAAAACCCCUUAUCAGUCAUACUUGCCAGCUUCUGAUCAACUCUGCAGUAGAGGGAAGAACCUGAGCAGAAGCUGAUGUGGUAGUUGCUGAAGGUACAGGCCAGAAGGCAACUUAAUGAUCUGUAAAGAGCACUGCUCUGGAAGUCAGGAGACAAGGAUGUAGUAGGAACAUGCCAGGUGACAGUAGACAAGUAGAUUCUCCUUUCAAGGCUUUGGUUCCAGCCAUCUGUCAAGAUGAUGCUAAGCUGGAUGACUUCUAGAUUUCUUCUCAGCUCUGGCAUUUGAAAAUUAUGUGCAUUUCUCUUUCUGAGCAAGCUGAGGCAGUUUCCUGGAGGCUCUGUGUGUAUGUGUGUAUGUUGUAGGGGAGAGGACAGUUAUAUGUGGGGGAAGUAGCCCCAGCCCAAAUCAGGCUGGGCGUGUGUGUGUGGCUGCUGUAAGUCUGGGUGUAUCCCAGGCCAGGCCAGUGGGGAAGGGUUGGAACUUACAAGGGCAGGACUUGCACUGAAACCAAGGCUGUUUCUCUCUCAGCUGUUUGUCUAGUUUCGUCCUGAAACAAUGCCCUUAGGCUCACCUAAGGAGAGAAUGAAAGGCAUAGAGACUGGAACAGCUGUGGAGAUAACAUAGAAACAGCUUCAGGGCAACCGAGACCCAGAAGUAGG